UACGUAGGGUGCGAGCGUUGUCCGGAAUUAUUGGGCGUAAAGAGCUUGUAGGCGGUUUGUCGCGUCUGCUGUGAAAACCCGAGGCUCAACCUCGGGCCUGCAGUGGGUACGGGCAGACUAGAGUGCGGUAGGGGAGAUUGGAAUUCCUGGUGUAGCGGUGAAAUGCGCAGAUAUCAAGAGGAACACCAAUGGCGAAGGCAGAUCUCUGGGCCGUAACUGACGCUGAGGAGCGAAAGCAUGGGGAGCGAACAGG
rnacentral:rRNA from 1 species